GGCCAGCAGUUCUUACUUCAACACCCCCUCCCAAACUGAGGAACUGACAACUAGUCAACAGAUAAGACAUAUACAGAUAAGUUCCAACCAACUGAUUUCAAUAGUUAAAAUAGAAUAUAUACAGUACAAUAAAUACAAAUAAUAGUUAAUAUUUCUUUUGAGUUUAUAUAAAUCAAGCCUUAAAACUAAAUCAACAGGAUUGUCAGUGGAACUGUAGAGGCUGUUACUGUAAGGCAAUCGAAUAGGGUUCCUUAUAGCGAACCAACUUUCCUGAAUAUUUUGUAUGGUAUCAAUACAUUGUUUCCAGGGACCGGAGACCCUUCCAACAAGUGAUAUUAUACCAUCAGAUCAACAUAUACAUAUAACAGAUACAUAUUAAGUUCCUUCAUAUAGAACUAACUUGAUUAAUUCAUCACACACAUACGUGUCCGAAUUUUUUUGCUUUCGCAUCUAUCAUUACCAGGGACCGGAGACCCUUCAAAUCAAGACACUAGUGUUUAUAAAAGAACCGAAGAACCUUUCAAUAAAACUCCGACAUAUACACAACAGAUUUUUAGUAUUGUCUAAGCAUGUUUCCAGGAACCGAAGAACCUUUCCACACAGACACAUAUUCAACAGAUUUUUAGUAUUGUCUAAGCAUGUUUCCAGGAACCGAAGAACCUU